CCUACGGGGGGCUGCAGUGGGGAAUAUUGGUCAAUGGGCGAGAGCCUGAUCCAGCCAAGUCGCGUGAAGGAUGAAGGAUCUAUGGUUUGUAAACUUCUUUUAUAUGGGAAUAAGGUGAGGAACGUGUUCCUUUUUGUAUUUACCAUAUGCAUAAGCAUCGGAUAACCCCGUGCCAGCAGCCGAGGUAAUACGGAGGAUGCGAGCGUUAUCCGGAUUUAUUGGGUUUAAAGGGUCCGUAGGUGGUUCAUUAAGUCAGCGGUGAAAGUUUGUGGCUCAACCAUAGAAUUGCCGUUGAAACUGGUUGACUAGAGUAUAGUAGAGGGAGGCAGAAUGCGAGGUGUAGCGGUGAAAUGCAUAGAUAUCACGCAGAACACCGAUUGCGAAGGCAGCUUACUAAACAAUGACUGACACUGAAGCGCGAAAGCGUGGGGAUCAAACAGGAUUAGAUACCCUAGUAGUC
rnacentral:rRNA from 1 species